rnacentral:rRNA from 1 species
GACAGAGGGUGCAACCGUUGCUCGGAUUUACUGGGCGUAAAGCGCGUGUAGGCGGGCGACUAAGUCGGAUGUGAAAUCCCUGGGCUCAACCUAGGAACUGCAUUCGAAACUGGUCACCUAGAGUGAUGGAGAGGAAAGCGGAAUUCCCGGUGUAGAGGUGAAAUUCGUAGAUAUCGGGAGGAACACCAGUGGCGAAGGCGGCUUUCUGGACAUUUACUGACGCUGAGACGCGAAAGCGUGGGGAGCAAACAGG